GGAGCCAGUCCAGGUAAUGGAGCAGAGACUGGAGCAGAGACAAGUUGUUCCCACUGAGCUCUCCUCAGAUUACAGAUUGGUGAUACAUCACAGGGGCUCAUGAAUGUGUCUUAAGCUGGGUCAUUGAAGUGGAAUGUUUUCACAAGACCUCCUCCACUUGCUACUGUGUCCGGAAUUGGUGGGUUCUUGGUCUCACUGACUUCAAGAAUGAAGCCGCGGACCCUCGCGGGAGUGGCAAAUCAAAGGCAUUGCAGCCUCUUUCAUCACUGCCGAUUGCUGAUGCCAACCAUGUGCCAAGUGCUUAAUACGUCACCUUAAAUCUUCUCAUCCACCCUCAGAGUAGCUGCAGCAUCAACCCAGUGCCCUGACUUUCAAGACGACUAUGAAAACACCCCAACUGCUGCUAAAUUACCAGCAACAAGGAUCUGACAUUCUUAUUCAAAAGAAAGAACACCGAAAUUGACCUUACCCUGACAAUAUGAUGGCUGAAGGAUUUAUGAUCACUUAUAACAUUUGAAAUUGAGGCGGAACCUGAAGAAUAAGACUCUGGUGAAAGGUCCUAUUUAUGCUUUUGAUGUCUUUCACUUGGACAUUUACCACAUGCCUAUUGGUAGGUUUGUUACAUAGGUCAGUUAAGGUGAUACAAGAAUAAAUAAAACACUAUCCCUAUCCUUUAAUAUCAUUUAUUUAUGGGGUCAAUCACAGAUUUUCAUUUUUCAAAAUCUUUGAUAAAUGUCAGAAUUAUGUUUUUUAAUAUUUUUACAGAAUUAUUACAAUAUAUGGUAGAGGAUGGAAGGCAAGGUAGUAUGAAACGGAAAAGAUAUUUUGAAUUAAGGUAUUUGGACCUGGAUUAAUAUUUUUGCUUUGGUCUUUAUUAGCUGAGUGACCUUGAGAAAGUUCUUCUACUAAAAAAGAACAAAGAUAAUAAUUACUUCAUGAAAUUGCUGUAAAAAACACAUAACAAGUAUAUCCAGACUCAACAGUGUAUGCUCAAAAAUGCAGAUCCUUUUUCCCUUACCUGCAAAUAAAGUCUUACAGUAAUACAGUGGGGGUAAAGGUUUAAACUGGUGGAUUCAAGAAGGGCUAUAGAAAGAGGUAGCAUCUUAAUAGGGGAAGGAGAGGAUCCAAGAAAUCAGAUCCAUUUUCUACAAAAAGAAAUGGGAAGACAGAUAAUUCAAGAAGAAAAGUUUACAUGAUUAAAGACCCGAAGUUAGAAAUAGUGAUGUGUCUCAAUAGUAAGUUAGGAAUUGGGGUGGACACAAUUGUUGGAAGAAGGAUGGUUUCAGCAAAGGCCCAAGUUAGGUGACAAUUUCAAGUGUUUGUGAAGAUAUAUGAACAAAAUUAUAAAGUAGUUAGGGUAUAAGAAAUAGGGAGGAGGGAAUGAAUUAACAUUUAUGGAGUGUCUUGCAUGUUCCAAGCACUGUACUACUUGCCUUAUAAACCUUUCUUCAAUAAACGCCUACAACAAUCCUGAGAU
rnacentral:lncRNA from 1 species